rnacentral:lncRNA from 1 species
GGGGUAAGUCUGAAUGCACAGGCGAGUCAGAAAAAUCCGCAGCACCGGCUUCUCAAUAGACAUGGGUGCCAGUAAAAUAGGGGAGGAAAAGGUUGUGAGGCAGGACCAAGCUGGCCCUUAGCCCAGAGGAGUAGCAGGGCCUGAGGGCUCUGGCUGAAGAAGGGUCCAUGCCCCAUUUGCAGGGGAAGUCAUUGACCACUCCCAGCCCUUGCUGCGGGCCUGAGAAUGGGGGCCCCACUGGCCAGGUUUCGGUGUUUUUGUUUUUUAGGAGAAGGGAGAAACCACAACCAGCUUGUUUUUACAUAUUGGCAACUAAUUUAGUAUUUAGAAACACUGCAUAGUCCCGCCCAGUAUACACUAAUUAAAACAUUUGUGUGCCUCAUUUGGCUUCUAGGAAACAGUGAAGGAGGAGACCACCCAGCGUUAUACUGCCUCUAGGGGCAGCCGAGACCCUGUUCCUUCCAGCUCUAAUGCAGAACAUAAAAUGAUGUAACAGGCAGGAGGCCCUUAACAAUCGAUCAGACCCAUUUAAGCCAAGAGCCAAGUGUAAUUCUGUCCACCUCUUUACCUCAGAUCCAUAUCUUGACCCUGGGAAAAAAAUAGUUCAAUCCGUUCUUUUUCUUUUUCUUCCUCUUCCAAGCUAAAAAAAAAAAAAGCAAAAAGCUAACACGUAAAGCUUCACCAGGAUUAUCUCUUUGGCGAGGUGGCACUUACUUCUACAGGAGACCUUUGUCUCCUAGUCAUUAGUCAGCAGUGUUCAGGUGAAUCCCCAAGCCAGCAACAUUUAGAACUUGGACAAAAAGCCGUGAAGCCCUGAAUGACCUUGGGCAAGGUUCUUGGUCUAUCUAUUUCCCUUCUUUUGCUCACUAAGAGAACCUGUUGUUAUGGGGGAAAACACAAAACCAAGAAUAACUAAUCAUCUUCCAGACACGUGUGCCUCAGUUUGUUCCUCCAUAAAACUAGUGGAACAGGUCCAAGGCCUUCGGAGGCCAAGGGUCUCUAAUAGCCCUCUACCUAGAACACUUCCCCCUGUGAACUCAGGAAUGCCCUCCAGCAAGAGUGUGAAAUGCAUGACGUUUCAAUUCUUUGAGCUUCUUCCCACUCCCCCUACCUCUGGUUACCGGAUGCCCUGGCUGAAGUCUGGAUACCCCAGGGACACUUAAAUGAAUAAAAAGCCUGGUUGUUUUACUAAGUGAUGUAGCAAGAUCUACAAAUACAAACACCAAAAGAUGGAGACUACAAUGUGCAUAUGAAUAUCCCUUGGACCCAAAAGCACACGAAGAACUUGUGCUCCCUGUUUUAAAGGUUCAGAAUGUCCUCAUCACUCAUUUUAGAAAUCACAUUCGGGACUUUCAUGCUGAAUGCCAUUAAGUGGGUAGUGUUUGGAACUAUCUGCUCAUCCUAACUUGGAAGCAAGUUUAUUUACUCAGCAUAAAAGGAAGUAUUUGAACUCACAGAGUGUGAUUCUCUGCAACUUUUAAAAGUAGCAAGACUGGACAGGCAACUUUUAGGACAGUAAGACAUAUUUCUCUGUUCUGAAUACCACCUUGCUACCUUAACUAGGCAAUUGUAGCUGGGUAGACGCUCAAGGUGAAAAAGGACAUGAGUUUUAGUAAAUACAGGUAAUAUACUUAGAUGAUACUAAUGGGCUCUGUUUUCUAGGAUUCCAUUCUAUUGCCUUCUUCAUUCAGUUAGUUUUGAACCAUUCUCUUGUGAAACUAAACGUUUGAACCAUUCUUUUGUGAAACUAAACGUGUGAACAACGUUUUUGAGACUAUCACAUUAUCACCUAGGUGAAUAGGAUGACCUUCCCAUCCCACCAUUAAUACUUGCCGAAGACCUUAGUAGGACCCAGCUGGCCUUUUCAAAUGACAGAUUUGCGUAAAAAUUAGGCUAGGAGGGGUGCCUGGGUGGCGCAGUCGGUUAAGCGUCCGACUUCAGCCAGGUCACGAUCUCGCGGUCCGUGAGUUCGAGCCCCGCGUCAGGCUCUGGGCUGAUGGCUCAGAGCCUGGAGCCUGCUUCUGAUUCUGUGUCUCCCUCUCUCUCUGCCCCUCCCCCGUUCAUGCUCUGUCUCUCUCUGUCCCAAAAAUAAAUAAACGUUGAAAAAAAAAAAAAUUAGGCUAGGAGCAAAAUGGACCUGAAGCUGCCUUAGUGCAUGGCAUAUGGUUAUAUUCCCUUCUCCCCUCCUCCACGUAUAGCUCAGUAUCCCUCAUAAAGGAGACAUCAGAAAAAUUAUGGAAUAUGCAGAAGAAAUGAACCUGAGAAAAGGCCAGCAACUGCUGAAGUAGAUGGUGUGUGAGAAUGAGAAGGGAACAGGAGGCAGGCUGAGCCCCAGCUGUCCCAGCUUUGGGCAGAGGGCACCUCACCAGGAUUCAGUGGUGCUGGAGAUCCUCUCUCAGAUACUUUCUCCAGGGCACAGUUUCACCCUGGUCCCAGCUCAGCUCUCCCGCCUCUGUGCUAAGAAGCCAACCUAUUCUCCUCAGGCCCCUCCUGGCUUCUUUCUCUCCCCCACGUGAUCAUUUUGCUCACCUUCUCUGGAUUCUCGCCUAACGCUUACAGCCUUGCUUAAUCAUUUGGUAGCUGCCAGUAAGGAAGGACACAGCACAGGGAAUUUCAUUGAAGCUGUGUUCUUCUAAGCCAUUGAAUGGAAACACGCAUCACACUCUGCCCCAGACAGUGUUUUGUUGAUGCUGCACUUGGUUCAAAGCCUCCCAUGACUUCCUAGGAUGUUUCUUUUUCUAUUCUUAGGCAUAACUCGCCAUUCUUCUACCUUUAUGCAGCUUGUGUUUCCCCUGGCCCUUCUCUUUUGCCCUGGCCUCUAGACCAGGAGUGGAGUGAUUAGAAUGUGCUCGUGUAACUUUUACCCCUCAUUGUGGUUCCUAGAGCUGGAGCCUCUCUAGUACGACUCCCUGCUUCUGCAGGGUUUUUCUCUUGCUGGAGUCCUCCUCGCCCUGUGGUCUUAUCCACAAUGGGCAGCUCCUGGGAAAGACACGUCCAUCAUCUCAUCUGCUUUGUUUUUCUUCCUCUUUCUGGAAGUUGAACAGCGUGGCUGGCUGGAACGGACAACCUUGCACUGAAAGCACCUAAGUGAAGGGGUGCCUGGGUGGCUCAGUCAGUUGAGCGUCUGACUUCGGCUCGCGUCAUGAUCUCACGGCUCGUGAGUUCAAGCCCCGUGUCAGGCUCUGUGCUGACAGUUUGGAGCCUGGAGCCUGCUUUGGAUUCUGUGUCACCCUCUCUCUCUGGCCCUAACCUACUUGCAUUACAUCUCUCUCGAAAGUAAAUAAACAUUAAAAAAAAAAAACAGCACGUAAGGGACUCCAAGGUGUUUUUCCUUCUCAGAAAUGUCAUAGUUACCCCUCUUUCUGGAUUUCAUUCUAUUGUUACAUGUAAUUCUGCCAUGUUGCUGCUCUGUUCUUUUCUAGGUGGGGGAGGUAUUGCAAUACAAGUACUUGUUACUCUACAUGUAGGUCAUCUGCCAAGGUUUAGCUCUCUGUUGCAACCAGAUUCUGCUUGAAGGUUGGCCAUUCACCUGAUAGGUGGUGUUAACUGAAUUUCUUCUGCAUAACAGGGCUUGUUGGCAUCAAAAGGGCAAGGGGAGAAACAAGAAAUUGACUUCAGAACCCCAGUUUGAGGGUGUACCAAGAAAUUAAUUUUGGAGACAAUUGAGAUUGAAGUUAAUCAUUCCUUGGUUUGGUGAAUAUUUAUUGGGUCGCUACUACAUGCAAAACGCUGGGUUUACAAGCAAUGAAUAAAACUAGAAAGCAGUUAAACCACAAUAACAGAUGAUUUGUUAACAGCUCUAAGACAUGGAGACCCAAGAACUCUUUGAGGAAGAAAUGAAAAUUACGCAGAAAUAGUAAUUUUAUAUAUUAGCUCCUACCUUUUCCUUAAAAAAACUGAAAGUCCUGAAACAGAACUCUUUUAUCAAAGAAGCCUGAUAGAAGCAUCCUUAAAGAAGAAGCAAUGCCUGCCUGGGGUAAGAUUACAGAGGAGGAAGAAUAGGGAAGUGUGACCUCUUUUCCUUGUGGCCCUUGGACACUAAGGGAUUUUUUUUUUUUUUUUUUUUACCGUUUAUUUAUUUUUGAGACAGAGAGAGACAGAGCAUGAAUGGGGGAGGGUCAGAGAGGGAGGGAGACACAGACUCUGAAACAGGCUCCAGGCUCUGAGCGGUCAGCACAGAGCCCGACGCGGGGCUUGAACUCACGGACCGCGAGCUCGUGACCUGAGCCGAAGUCGGCCGCUUAACCAACUGAGCCACCCAGGCGCCCCACUAAGGGAUUUUUUUAAGGGACUGAGCCACUUAAUCAAGGGAAAUAAACACGAGUGGAAUUCCAAAACCUAAUUUUUGAAACCAAGAACUAUAAAACUGACAAAGACCCUGACACAGACAAGAUACCCAGUGUUAACUGAAUUCUAUUGAAAAUUAUAUUAUCACAGAGACUCAUUAGCUUAAAUCGAGGAGCUAGAAAAAAAAAAUUAAUGAGAAAAUAAAGAAUGAAAAAAAUCAUUUAAGAUUUAAAAGAGCUAUUUGUAAACUUGUUUACAAAGAAAUUAGUGUAAAAACCAAAAAUAAAAUCAAAGUGAGCUCAGCUCUUCUGGCCCAUGGAGAGUUUGGAAUCCUAGGAACAUCUCUGGUGACCUUGAAAAGGAGUUGCAUGUGAAUUGUGGACAGAAUUUCAAAACUUUGAUCAAAGGUUCCCUUGCUUAUUGAAAAGGACUCCACCCAAUAGAGGAAUCUUCUCUAUAGCAUUUCCAGCUAAAUGCUUUCUUUUUCAAAGAACAUCUCAUACAAUUUCGAUGGAGUAUUAUUUCAAACCUCAAGUUUAUUCUAAUUAACAGCUUUUCUGAGAAGAUAUAAACUCCAGACAUUUAGAAAAACUUGAUUUACCACAUUUUAAAGGACACUGAAAGUUGAUAGUACAGUUUGCAAAAGACAAAUUCCUGACUCUUUUCUAUUUUGUUUAAUUUUACCUCCUGGAAUGUUCUCAGUUCUCUCAAGAGAUUGUAGAAUUCACUCUCAGAAUGAAAACAAUUUAAAUUCAUUUAAAAAUAAUUUAAUAAACACAACUAGACAACACAUAGCCCUUGGAGUGGAAAGAAGGACUGAAGUUUUUAACAAAUCUAACAAUAAACAUUAAGGGCUUGAAAUAACAGAACGUUAAGCAGCUUUUUCUGGGGACCCUUGUGUCUCCCCGCCCCCACUCGACCUUGUGGCUGAUCAGUGGGAGGUUUCUGCCUUAGCCUUCAACACAGUCCUUACUCUGCAUAUGCGGUUUGUGUUCAUAGUACAUUUUCACAGAAACAUAGAACAUGUGUCCUGGUAAACUAACAGCUCUGACACUCCAACAUGCUUAGAAAUUUUAGAAAAUGAAAAGAAGCUGCUAUGGACUGAAUGUGCUGCCCCACCCCCACACACCCAAUUCUAAUCCCACCCAGCUUGGUAGCAUUUGGAGGCAGGGUUUGGGGGAGGAAAUUAGAGGCUAUCAUGAUAGGAUUAAUGCUCUUCUAAAAAGAGACGGGAACCUCCCCUCCCACUCCAUGCAUGCACCAAGAAAGAGCCAUGUGAGGUCUCAAAGAGGACCAUCUGCAAAUCAGGAAGUGGGCUGUCAUCAGAAACCAAAUCUGGGGGUGUCUGGGUGGCUCACUGAGGUUAAUCAUCCAACUUUUGAUUUCGGCUCAGGUCAUGAGAACAAGCCCCUGUGUGGAGCCCCCAUGUUGAGCCCCUGCUUUGGGUCAAGCCCCUCUCUUUCUUUCUCUCUCACUCUCUGCUGCUCCCCCACUUGUGCGUGUGUGUGUGUGUGUGUGUGGCCACCUUGAUCUAGAUUCCUCAGCCUCCAGAACAAUGAGUAACAAGUGUCUGUUGUCUAAGCCACCCAAUCUAUGGUAUUUUCUUAUAGCAGCCACUGCUGAUGGAGACAACAAGCCUUCACAAGUCAGCUAGUUUACUGACUUGGCUUACAACCUGUGGAGAUCAAAUGAUAACCUUUAUAUGUGAUAAGCAUACUGUAUUUGUUGAUGUCACCCAAAGAGAUCGCUACCAUGAUUUUCCAAUCUUGAUUGAGCCCCUACUCUAUGCUAGACAAUGAUCAAAUUUCAACUCCACGAAAGCUCUCAAUAUUUAGACUCCCAGAGUCUCUAAGAAGAAAACAGUAGCUUGGAAUUCUACACAUGGAAGAUCAGCAGGUUUUCAACAGCUAUAACUUUCCCAUGUUGUCUGGACCUUCUUGCGGCUACUACUGUUUGGUAGUAAGGGUGAAAUCUGGGUACUCCAAGUGCUAAUAUUUUAUUUCUCUUUAAUUAAGAGGAAGUAGAAACAUAAAUAGCAACUAAGGUAGCAUUUACUAAAGGCUCAAAGGAAGAUAUUACUAAAGAUAUUUGAUACAGGAAUUUGGAGGGGAAAAUAAACUUAAGUGCAAGAAGGAGAAAGCCAACACAGGAAUAGCCACUGGAACAGUCCAGGUAAGAGCUUAAACCUGACUGGCCACGGUGAGGAUGAGAGCAAAGAAGAAAGAAGAGACAUUAACUUGGAAGAGGGCUAUUUAUAAGGAACCACCUGUCUUAGUGAGGGAUUGGACACUGAGCAAUCAAACCAGAUUGGGGUUUUGAAUCUAAGUGACUGAAAAUGUUUGUAUGAAUAAAGUUCCUGUGUUCCUGGCAAACACAGGAAAGGUACAUUAGUAGAGGGGGAGGGGGUCGAUGUGGAAGUGGUUGAUUAUGAUCUUUUUAUCUGUUGAGUUUGAGGUGGCCGUUGUAUUUAUAGUAUGGCAAAGGGCAGGCCCUGGCGAGAGCUGCCUUUCUUGCAGUGGUGUUCCUUGGUGCACUAUUGGCUUUUACGCUGGGCCUCAGGCUGACCAGAUCCAGAUGUGAAGUUAACUCUUAGCAAGCUGGGUGACUGACCUUUAGUAGGUAGCUAGCUCUAAGUACAAAACACAACAGAAUGUUUAAGCUAGCUCUAAGUACAAAACACAACAGAAUGUUUAAGCUGUGCUUUGUGAUAAAAUGUGGCAACAUCUACUUAGACAAUAGACCAAUCAUAUGGCCAUCCUUCCAUCCACUCAUGAAGUGAUCAGGUGUCCCUUGUUGAGUCUUAACGGGAGGACCAGGAGUCGCUAACCAAUCCCCAAAUGGAGAAGCAGUCAUCAGGGACUGGGUCUCUGCAGCCUGGUAAAGAGCAGCUGAGUUUUGGAGUAGGAACUACAACCCCGUCACCAGAAAACAAGCAUCUUGUCAGAAAGAUGUGUAUGUUUGCAUAUUCAGAUUGCUUCUAUCAAUAUGUUUAUCUCAAUGAGGCUUUGUUUCAAAAUAGUAUAGAUAUGCCUUAAUCAAGCAAAGUAAAAGAAUCUCAACUUUAAACACUGGUAAACCAACAUUCUAAGACACUGUUUCUAUUUUGACUACAUUAACAAAAUGCAUAUUUCUUUUAAAAAAAAUAUUUUGAAAAGCGUUCCAAACACAGAGAAAGAUAUAGAGGAUAAAAUAACAAAUAUUUAUGUAUGUACCGCCUGGAUACAAGAAACGUCAUAUUUGCCUCAUUUUUUUGAAAGGAAAUGAAAUCUUACAGAAUUUGAUGUUCCUGUCUACCUUCUCAGCAUCCAUCGCCUUCCCUAGUUUGUCAGUCAUUAUUACUAUUCUGCAAUUGGUAUGUUCUUCCUGUGAGUCUUUUUAUGCAUUUGCUACAUGCAUAUGUCCCAAUAUCAUGUAAUAUUAUUUUAUAUGUUCAUAACUGUACAGGAAUGCCAUCACAUAGUAUUUUCUUAUUCUGUCAUAUUUUUAUAUAUCACAAUAUAUUUAUCCAAUUCGCGACUUAAGGACAUUUAGGUUGUUUCCAGUUUUUCCUGGAAUGAACAUCCUUGUACAUGUGUACCUGAAUGUGACCGCUUCUCUAGAGGAUCUUAGUAGAUGGGGAAUUACUGAACUUCAGGAAUUGUACAUCUUUGCCUUCGCUAGAGAUGGCCAAGUUGUUCCUCUACAUGAUUGCUCGAAGUACAUUCCUCUCAAUACUGUAUGAGCAUUCCUAAUAUUCCACACUAGCUAAACAUUUUAAUUUUUGCCAACCUAGUGGCUGUUUUAAUUUUCAUCCCCUGAAAAACAGUGAAGCUUUUUUUCAAACUAUCCAAGCUCUCCUAAGUCAGCUAGAAGUUUGUUGGCCUCUCAUCCACCAAUUAAGACAAAGUGUUCCAGAUGGGGAGUAAGAGUCAGACAGAGGAAAUUGUGCUGGGGGAACACGUGUAGACUCAGAUAAACCCAGUCCUGCUAUUCACUACUGUGAGGCUCUCCAAGGCUCAGUUUCUUCACAGAGUUGCUCCAGGAUUGAAAGUAACAACUAUUUCUCUUACGCUGCCUGGUACACACAGGUAUUUAGCAAAUUCAUGAUUGUAUCAAAAUAAUUGAGUAGCCACUACAUUCCAGGCAUCGCUGCAGAGUCCUGGGCACACAGCACUGAGCAUUAGAUCAAGCUCUACCUGUCAUGAAGCUCACAUUCUCAGACAAAUAAUGAACAAAGAAUCCACUAUGUGGAAUGUCUGAUGAUAAAUGCAGCUGAGAAAAUUUUUUUUUUUUUUAUUUUUUUUUCAACGUUUAUUUUUUUUUUUUUGGGACAGAGAGAGACAGAGCAUGAACGGGGGAGGGGCAGAGAGAGAGGGAGACACAGAAUUGGAAACAGGCUCCAGGCUCCGAGCCAUCAGCCCAGAGCCCGACGCGGGGCUCGAACUCACGGACCGCGAGAUCAUGACCUGGCUGAAGUCGGACGCUUAACCGACUGCGCGACCCAGGCGCCCCAACAGCUGAGAAAAUUAAUGCAAGGUAAAGGGGAUAAAAAUGGAAGAGGGGCCCCUAGAAUCAAUGCUGCUUCUUCCUCUUGCUCAUUUCCAGGCUGCCCUGGGAUCUACUGAAUCACUGGAGUUUUAACUUUCUUGAACUGUGAAAUGGGAAAAUGAUAAUGGAAUCCUGUGUGGUUUUAUUUACUCAUUUGCUAAAACUGAAGUUUAGAUAGUCGUUCCAAACUUUGAUUUGUUUAGAACUUUAACUUGAAAGCAAAGAGAAAAAACAAGAGUGCUUACUGAUUUGACAUUAACAAAAUCGUUGAAAGUUGUCCAAAAUUAUACAGAUUUUAGUGUUUUAGUGGCAUGAAAAAGGGCUUCAAUGAAAAAAAUGUGUGUGUAUAUAUAUAUAUAUAUAUAUAUAUAUAUAUAUAUGUAACAAAAAUACGUAAAGUACAAAAGGCAAUGGGUGGAGACUCUCUGGAGGCCUGGAAUGUAGUUUAGCCUCUAUUGCUCCAUAGCCAUGGAAUCAUACCUCUCUGUGCUGCUCGGUGUCCUUGUCAUAAAAUGAUGCUAAGAGGCCAUCAAUCCUACAGUUAUUUUGCCCCCUGACACUACUACUUUAUCAUUUGAUUUUGAGAACUGAGACAUUUAUUUCUGUUCUGAUUCUUUUUUUUUUUUUUAACUGAUGUUGGACUGUAACAAUUUCCCUUUUUAGAUAUGGAAGUCGUCUUUGCAAAGAAGUGUGGUUCCUGUUUCUGCUCAGGACAGGGGAUGAGUUGGAAAAUCUUAACUUAAGGAGCACCCAGGACUUUGAAGAGGCUUUGAAUAAUUUCUUUGUUGUCAUUGCUUCAUGUUUCACUUCUUUGGGUGAUGCUCUGAAAGCACAUUGGUCAAUAUUCGGGUAAAUAUGUUAAAAUGAUUGAUAACAUGAUAUUGGAAAAUCACCAAAUUAUUUCAAAGGUAAAUGGAAUGUUAGAGUUCCAUGCCAAGAGUUUUACUUAAACAUACUUUUUAUCCUGUCUGAUGCUCUUGAUAUAAUUAACCUGUUAUUGUUAUAAAAACAAAGUUACAUUUUUUCCAAACACCUUCAUGUUCAUUUCAACUUAUCAAAAGGAAAGAGGUAAGUCUUAGAAAACCAUCUUUUAAAAAUAAUGUUGCUUUAAAAUUGUUUCACUUUGUCUAGUUUUUCAAUGUCAUCUUUUGUUUCACAGUAAAGAAAAAAAC